rnacentral:rRNA from 1 species
AUACGUAGGGUGCAAGCGUUGUCCGGAAUUAUUGGGCGUAAAGAGCUCGUAGGCGGUUUGUCGCGUCUGCUGUGAAAAUCCAAGGCUCAACCUUGGACCUGCAGUGGGUACGGGCAAGCUAGAGUGCGGUAGGGGAGAUGGGAAUUCCUGGUGUAGCGGUGGAAUGCGCAGAUAUCAGGAGGAACACCAAUGGCGAAGGCACAUCUCUGGGCCAACACUGACGCUGAGGCGCGAAAGCUAGGGGAGCAAACAGGAUUAGAUACCCUGGUAGUCCUAGCCUUAAACGAUGAUGACUUGAUGUGUCGGGUUUGAGUCCCGAUGUGCCGGAGCUAACGCGUUAAGUCAUCCGCCUGGGGAGUACGGUCGCAAGACUGAA